AGAGCGAACGCUGGCGGCAGGCCUAAUACAUGCAAGUCGAACGCACCUUCGGGUGAGUGGCGGACGGGUGAGUAACACGUGGGAACGUGCCUUUUGGUUCGGAAUAAUCCGGGGAAACCUGGCCUAAUACCGGAUGUGCCCUUCGGGGGAAAGAUUUAUCGCCAUUAGAGCGGCCCGCGUCUGAUUAGCUAGUUGGUGAGGUAACGGCCCACCAAGGCGACGAUCAGUAGCUGGUCUGAGAGGAUGAUCAGCCACACUGGGACUGAGACACGGCCCAGACUCCUACGGGAGGCAGCAGUAGGGAAUCUUGCGCAAUGGGCGAAAGCCUGACGCAGCCAUGCCGCGUGAAUGAUGAAGGUCUUAGGAUUGUAAAAUUCUUUCAGCGGGAAGAUAAUGACUGUACCGCAGAAGAAGCUCCGGCUAACUUCGCGCCAGCAGCCGC
rnacentral:rRNA from 1 species